rnacentral:rRNA from 1 species
AUCGAACGCUGGCGGCAGGCCUAACACAUGCAAGUCGAGCGGAUGAAGGGAGCUUGCUCCUGGAUUCAGCGGCGGACGGGUGAGUAAUGCCUAGGAAUCUGCCUGGUAGUGGGGGAUAACGUCCGGACACGGGCGCUAAUACCGCAUACGUCCUGAGGGAGAAAGUGGGGGAUCUUCUGACCUCACGCUAUCAGAUGAGCCUAGGUCGGAUUAGCGAGUUGGUGGGGUAAAGGCCUACCAAGGCGACGAUCCGUAACUGGUCUGAGAGGAUGAUCAGUCACACUGGAAGUGAGACACGGUCCAGACUCCUACGGGAGGCAGCAGUGGGGAAUAUUGGACGAGGGGCGAGAGCCUGAUCCAGCCAUGCCGCGUGUGUGAAGAAGGUCUUCGGAUUGUAAAGCAAUUUAAGUUGGGAGGAAGGGCAGUAAGUUAAUACCUGGCUGUUUUGACGUUACCAACAGAAUAAGCACCGGCUAACUUCGUG